rnacentral:rRNA from 1 species
GUAGGUGGCAAGCGUUGUCCGGAUUUAUUGGGCGUAAAGCGCGUGUAGGCGGUUUUUCAAGUCAGUUGUCAAAGACCUUGGCUUAACCAAGGGAAGGCUAUUGAUACUGAAAGACUGGUGUUGGAUCGGAGAUGCUGGAAUUCCCGGUGGAGGAGUGAAAUCCGUUGAGAUUGGGAAGAACACCAAGAGCGAAGGCAGGCAUCUAGGUCCUUCAGACGCUGAUGAACGAAAGCUAAGGGAGCAAAAGGGAUUAGAGACCCCUGUAGUCUUAGCUGUAAACUAUGCCUACUAGCUUCUCGAUUUUUAUCGGGGGGCGUAAGCUAACGCGUUAAGUAGGCCGCCUGGGAACUACGGCCGCAAGGCUA